UAUCACUGCAGCGAAGUUUGGCAGGUUUUCUCGGAAUUUAACUUGAAGUUUUCCAUUCCUCCACAAAUGCGUCGGUAUCUCGGGUAUCUACAUCAAACGCACAUUCCCCGCACCCCUUUGCAAUCGAAUGAUAAUAUUCCCUGUGAGAACAUGUCUCCUUAGACGUGCAGCAAAUCAGAACAAACACAAUUGUUAGCCAGCGGGCUAGUCAGCCUCUUACCAUCUAGGCCCCAAACGACGCUCAACGCAGUGGGACAGGUUGGUAAAAUUACCGCACCUUCUAAACCAGCAGAUACGGGACAUCAAUAUAUAUAUACACACCCACACACACAUAUAUAUAUAUAUACAGAUUCCCAUCCAGCCCAGGAUGUCAAAGGCCAAAGGGGUGAUGCAGGCAGACUUGUCCCAGCACUGCCCGAUGCGUGGCGUUCCCUGGACGAGCCAACCGAAGCCUUCUGGAAAAGCUUAGCCGCCUAAACAGAAGAAACAAACGCACUGU
rnacentral:sRNA from 1 species